AGUUUCCCUUAGGCCGCGACAGGAAAUGUGUGCGGAGCGCUGCCAGGCCCGGUGCAGCCCUGAGUUAUUCUGGGGUCAGGAACACAGCUGGCGCCGGGUACAGGGGACGCAGUCGACUAGAAGGUCAAACACCCUGCUUAGAGCAAGAGGAGAAAUUCGCCACUGGGAUGAAGUGUGUGGUUUUUCUCCGUUCAGGGAGUUUCAUCAGGACCGCAGAACCCAUAACACUAGCUCUGUCACUGUCUUCCCCAAACAAGGCUGAAGCUGUGCUGCAUAUUCUUACCUAGCCUAGGAAGUCAUAAAACAUCACUCUGCUUCAUUCUGUUGGAUACUGAUGAGUCAAAACUUGCCAUUUUCAAAGGAAAAGAAUGCAGACACCUCUUAAAAGAGCAGGUAGUUAGAAUGCAACACUGGAAGAAUGUGAGUUUGAGACUAGAAAGAAAAAUUGAGGUAGCAUUCAUAUGGCAACUUCAUAUGACUUGAUGAUGUGAGAUUCAACUGUUCUCCUUAGUGUGUUCUCUCUGCAAUUCCAGACCCCAUGAAAUAAAUCUCUGAAGCUUGCUUGUCUCCCAAACACUGUGUAAACCCACUGAAAACUUAAGUAAUGGAGUAAACAGCUUUCUGUGGCUUCCUGCUU
rnacentral:lncRNA from 1 species